UGAUUCUUCUGGUAUUGUCUCAAUUGCCUUUGCAAUUGAUCAACAAUCAAAUGUAGAUUGUUGUUCUAGAUCAAUUGCAAAGGUAACUGAGACAAUCAAAUGUAGAACUAAGGGAACA
rnacentral:pre_miRNA from 1 species